rnacentral:misc_RNA from 1 species
CUCAACAAGAAACAGAACGCCAAACAGGUUCGUUUUCCCAAUAAUGGCACUACUUGCAGGAAUACUGGGUGGAGUUUUUGGUAUUGGAGGUGGAAUGCUUAUCAGUCCACUUCUUCUUCAUGUAGGAAUACCACCAGAGGUAACUGCAGCAACUUGUUCCUUUAUGGUCUUCUUUUCAUCUACCAUGUCUUCGUUUCAGUACCUAUUAUUCGGAAUGGAGCACACAGACACCGCANNNNNNNNNNUUCGUUGCUUCACUCCUUGGAUUGCUGGUAGUACAAAGAACCAUACAAGAAUAUGGCAGGGCUUCUAUAAUUGUCUUCUCAGUUGGUAUUGUGAUGGCAUUGAGUACAAUUCUAAUAACCAGCUUUGGAGCUAUUGAUGUGUUGAGAGAUUAUAAAUCUGGCAACAACAUGGGCUUCAAACUCCCAAAAAAAAAGGAAAGAACUAAGUUUUUGAGUGGCUAGCUCUAUAUGAAAAUAGUAGAAUUACCUCUCAUAUUUGAAGCGGGAUAUAAUCUGGCAACAACACGG